rnacentral:pre_miRNA from 1 species
CAAUUUUUGUACUACACAAAAGUUCUGUUCAGCUUCUAUGUACAGCUCGUUUGUCCAGUGCAAAAAUGGU